rnacentral:lncRNA from 1 species
AUUAGAGUUAGAUGCCAGAAACUACAUAUCACAAUUCCGUUAAGCCUAUAGUUAAACUACUAGUAUAACAUUUUAAAAAAUUAUAAUCAAAGAAAAAACUGUUUAAUUCCAAAAAUAGUACUACCUAUGUUACAACUUAUGUGACGUCAUUUCCUUAUUAGUCAUUUAUAAAAAAAUUACACAUUUCUACAUUUGAAUAUAACUAGUAAACUUAUCCGCGCUUUCGCGCGGUAGUAUAAGACAAUAUUAAUAAAUUUGAAAAGGAUUUAUUUUUAUAAAUUUAAUUGAGAUAGAGGAUGUAAAAAUAAGUUCUUAAUAUGCCAUACAAAUAUUAAUUCCUUAAACUUGAUUAAGUCACAAACAUAAAUAUUUUUAGGUUGUUCUCUUCUUAACCUUUUUUUUUUCUUUUUUACCCUUAAACUUGAUUAAGUCACAAACAUAAAUAUUUUAAUGUUGUUGUUCUCUUCUUAACCUUUUUUUCUUUUCGCUUUUCUUUCAAUUCUCCUCCCUUUAAUAAUAUUCUAUAGCAUUAUCUCAAAGAAAAAGUUAUCAUUUAUGGAGUAUAUGGAUGGAGAGGCGGUUUUGUCUAAUAAUUAUUAUCAUCACUAUAAAGAACUGAUACAUAAACGUAUUAUAGAUUAUAUACAGUAGAAUGUUAUUUUCUUUUUAGUUUUUUCUUUGAUUUAUUUUAGUUCCUCUAGAGUACUAAUAUUUAUAGUUUUUCACCUUCUUAUUCUUGGAAUCAAAGGAUCAUGUUCAUAUAAUACCCUAUAAUUUCUGCUUUCACCUUCUUAUUCUUGGAAUCAAACGAUCAUGUUCAUAUAAUACCCUAUAAUUUCUGAUUUGUUAUUCCGAUCCAUGAAAUACCCUUUAUUUUCUACAAAAGCUUAAAAAUACGCUUGUUACUCUAAAUAACUUCUAGCAACAUGCACCCUAUCAGUCCCUUCAAAUGGAGAGGGGAAUUCUUUUAGAAGGAGAUAUAUAAUCCAAUUCUUUCUCUCUCCUUCUUCUCUAGUGAAACAAUCCCCAUUUUUGUCCAAAACGUUUGCAAAAUCCUCAAAAUUUUACUUUUUUCCUCCAGUAUCUAAUCAAUACUCCUGAAAUGUUUGUAUAAAAAUUUAUAUGUAUGAUGAUAACAUGUAUUUCGUGAUAAAUCACACAAUACUGAUAAUUUUUACAGCUAAUCAUUUGAAAAUAUUCUCAUUACAUAUUAGGUGUUGCCAUGUAUUACCCAUUCGCGUUCAAUAGAUCUCAUUUGGCUUGGGAUCUGGUUACCAAGGAAGAAAAAAAGUUAUACUAUAUGAUAACAUUAAUGCAGAACUCAAAGAAGUAUAAAAGUUUACCCCCGAAAUUUUACUGGUUGGUCAAUGACGAAAGGGAUAUACAUAAAAGCAGAAACACACUUUUUCUUUCCAUUAAAGAAAAGAACCUGAGAAUUAGUUGUAUAGGACAAGACGGAGAACAACAGUUAAUUAGGAACUAAACAUAC